GAAGGCCAUCUCGAUUUGGAUUCCUUAACCACCUCACUCCCAGAAGAUGUCAGCCCGUCCCCGGGACCUCCGCCGCGCGGCCCGGCCAAGUCAGAGUUCAUUGACGGAGACCAGGGGCCCUUUCUGCAGGGAGCGCUGCCCACUCGCCGCGAGCCUCGGCGUUUACACAGCCAGCCUGGGCGCUCUGACCUGGUCUGACUGCCCGGAAACACCGCAGGGUGUUGGGCGAGCGGCUUGGGGGGCCGCCUCCUGCAGUGUUGGGCUCUGUGUUCUCCUAGGUCUCCUUGUACCCUUUCCCAGGAUUCCACACACCUGUCAACAUCCAAGUCCUGAAAAACUAUGUAAUUUAGGCCUCAAUGAGGCCCAGCUUCAGAUCCUGCUUUCACAGAAUGACUCCUGCCUUUACCAGAGGUGAGUCCCGGAGAAGUCUUCCUCAUACUGUCUGUGCGGUAAAAGAAGCCAAAGAAGCCACGGAAAAUAUCAGAAGUAGAGUUCAGAGUGAGGUGUACAGGGCCUUGAGGAACAAGGAGUACAAGUAUGUGGGGCUGUAGAAGCCAGCCCUCUUAUUUCUGCUUCUGCUCAGUCAGCUAAGAAGCCAUAGGUGGAUAAACCUUAAAGGAAGUCUGUCAAGUAAAGAGCAGCGUGUCCAGUUGGAAGUUCUGAAAACAAAGCUGUUGCUUAGCUUUUAUUUGUAACCAUUUGUAUGUCCGGAGAAAGGAAAUCCCAGGGCAAAAUACCUCUAAAAACUGAAAUCAGUCAAAGGGAGAAAUAAAAUUUAAAAUCCGUUUAUUGCUCACAAACUGCAGGGUAAUUACCCAUUCAUAUGGAGAGGAACUUCUCUCCACCCCUGAGGAAUGAUGCAAAUGCACUAAAGCAUAUUUCUCUCCACCUCUGAAUGCCUACUGAUAUGCAGAUGUACUAAAACCAGGUGAGAUAUUAUGGAAAUGUUAUAAUUUUACCCAUACUGUUCAUUUAGUCUUUAUCACUAGUGGUCAUAGUAAUACCUGCCUGUCUUGCCAAUGGGUUUCAGCCCUGGGCAGGUUCACUAUGGAUUCAGUGUGACCAAAGA